UGCUGGUGGGUGUGAACUGACUGUCUGGUCAGCAUCAACUCAGAGGCUGCAUGGGAGUGAGAGACUUGGCUUCUAUGGAGCCAAAGAGGCUGGGACCUGAUCCAGUUGAUUCAAGAAUAAUUCUCAUGGAAGUGGGAGGACAGUUGCAGAACUUUCAAACCUGGGCCUUAAGAGAGUAGCAAGUUCUGUUUUCAAGUGCUUGGAAUGCUCCUUCAUGGAACCCAGUUGCCAUGCUAUGAAAAGCCCAAUCAAUUGGAGAGACCACAUGGAGAACUAAGUUGCUCCAGUUCAGCUUUCAGCAGAGAACCAACUCCAACUGCCAGCCAUGCGAGUCAGCCAUCUCAGACAUUCCAGCUUCCCAAUGACUGUAACACCAGCUUACCCCAUGUGCAACCAAGGAACCACCAGGCUGAGCCCCAGCCCACCCAAAGGACUGUGAGA
rnacentral:lncRNA from 1 species